AAGGAUCUCCAACGGAGCGCGCGUCGCUGUGAUUGUUCUCGGCGUACAUCGUGUCUCCGGGCGCGUACGAGUGAGGCGUCGUUUGGCGCCACAGGUAGAUAAUGAGCGAGAUGCCUCACGACUGGUCAUGUAGGCUGCCGGACCAAUACGGAAGGAUAUGCUGCUUGUAGCCUACGACGGCUCGAAACACAGCUGCGUUGCAUCUGGUGAGGAUGUCGAUGGCCGCCUGGGGGAUCUGGAGGCCUGGCAGGCGGUCAUCAAGUAACGCAUCACCGAUGACCAGCCGUGGUUUGAGCGGUUCACUCAGGGCACCCGAGGGCAGGAAAAGAUGUCGUGUAGGACGCACCCUGCUCGACUCACCAGCGGCAGGCGGCUGUGCCGUCGAAAAUGACAGAUCUCCUGCGUUCACCUAGCGCAGCUGGUGGCGGACGCAACUCGGGAGCACACGCCGGAGCAGGAAUACAAUACAGUGACUGCGGAGGAGACCUAUUCGCUGCGCCUGUGGGCGGACGAUCCGCCCGCUCUGGCAUCUCGUAAGUCUACUCUGUAUCCUGCCGGGGUGCGCAUGAGACGACGGCUUGCCUCCGCGUCGGGCUGUUGCAGCCAAGACUUUCAGCCUCGCGCCACAUCCGCCUCACCUCAGUUAUGCACCAGCGGCAGUGCGCUUCACAACUUGUCCGGUCUGUGAAUGGAGGGCAGACGCUGCGGAGGCGGCUUGGAGUGGCUACUGCGCUGCCCCGGCGGAGGCUCUCCACGUGUACCCUGAGGCAGUGGACCACGCCGAUGGAGCCGGUAACACGCUGCUUCACAUCGCCUGUAAGGUCAAGCUGCUCUUUGUGGCGGUGGUGCGCUGCCUGCUGUGCCUUGGCGAACUUCUCGACAACCACAACAGUCGUGGCGUUGCACCGUCUCAUCUCACCUGCUUUCACGUGCAGGACAUCCUCCACGCCAACAAGCACGCGCUGCAAUCCUCUGACCCGCGGCUUGAUCGCGAGUCCGAGUUUGGCGAGACAGCGGCGCACCUUCUCGCUUUUCACGACGCGUUUCGGGCCAAAUUUGGAGAACGUGGAGGGGAUUGUGGUGCGAGUCUGCAGCAGAGCCGCUGGCCGCUGGCGAACACCGCUGGAAGUGGCGGAGGAGUGUGCCGGCAGGGGGAGUUGGCGGUGCGGGACCUACCUUCGCGCCGUCGCGCCGCAGGAGCCGCACUCGACGCAACGGGUUUCCGUCGUUCAUGCUUCGAUCGUAUGUGUGUUUGGGUGCAAUCGCGCCUGAGCAAGGCGUCAGCUGUCCAUCAGCUGCCAGCACACACACACACACACGCACACGCACACACACUUCUCCAGCUUUCUCUGCUGCCUAUGC
rnacentral:misc_RNA from 1 species